rnacentral:lncRNA from 1 species
CGAGGGUUGGUUUAUAAGACAAGAAUAGGGUGGCAACAUGUACAAAGAGACGGGGAGAAUUAAGUAGAAGACUAAAUCUCGAUGUAAACUAAGAAAAAGAAAACAAAUGGCAAUAGAAAAUUGGGUGUGGACAAAUCAAUGGGUUUGGAGUUUGGACUUUGGAUACAGCCGUCAGCCGGAUGUGUUUCAUGAUUUGGUCACAUUGGUAGUGACUUGUUGAGAGUUGACACUCUUAAGACAAUGGUGCACACAAGAAGGGUGAGUUUUUAACAAAGAUGAUCGAUGGUUUUAAAAAAUAUUUACCAACUUCUUAUACUUUUUAAUUUAUUUUCCAAGUAGUUGUAUUUUUUUAAUUAAAAACAAAUUAAUCAAAAUAGUUUUUAACAAGACCCCCUUAACCACAUCGCCACUGUAGAUCUUGUGAAGAAACCGCAUCAGUACAUCACCAUUUAGUACAAAGAAAAGAUUUUCAGCAUAUACAACUCUUAUUAUGCCAGAUUAACAAUUUAACAUGUGCUCUUACAAAUACUAGUAUAUUGACCUUGUAAAAGACGUGGAUUAUUCAAGAUGCCUUAGAUUCCGGUUAUGCUUUAGACGAGGCCAAAGAUUACACCACCAAGGUUCAUGCGACUCUUUAGAUUUCAAAGGCGGAACACUUGGUCGGCGAUGAAACUUCCAUGCCCUUUGAAACAAUUUGGUAAGGAAGGUGGGUUGAUAUAUAAUAUUUACCAUCUUUUGGUAAAUAAUCUAAAAACUACGCUACUUUAGUAAUUAUUUUUUCAAAAUACAAUUAUCUACAUAAAAACUCCAAAAAGGGUUCCGAACCAGUCUUGGGUCGGUUCGGUCUUUUCCAAGAUAUGUCAUCAUUCGGACCAGUCUUUUGUUCAGUUUGGAUUUGUGGUUUUUUGUUCGUUUCAUUUUUUUUCAAUCCAGUUUCAAUAUCGAUUUUUUUGGUUUUGCAUUCAUAGAGUUGUGCUAGCAUAGAUAGGUUGUAGGUAGGAGUAGGUUGUUUAUCUCUAUUGUUUUCUUUAUGUAGGUUAUGUAUAUGAUAUAAUUAGAUUUGCUAUAUAUCUAAUAAUAAAUAUUUGAUUUUGUUACGUUAACCAGUGACAGAGCUUGAAGUUAUGAUUUGGGGGGCCGAAAUUAAAAUACGUAUAAAAAUUGAAGAACAGGGAGGGCCAAAGUCAAAUUUUAUAGUUUUGGACAUAAUAUGUAACCUUUUCAAUACUUAUGGACUAUAUAUAUAAUUUAAAAAGUUGAGGUUAUCUAUAAAAUGCAUUGUGGUACUGGUCUCGAGUUGGUCUUGAAAUGGUCCGUUCAUUUUUUGGAUCGGUUUCGGGUCGGUUUCAGAACAGUCUGAUCUUUUUUCGGUUUGGUUUCGUUAUUUUUCAGGACCAAUCUAGUUGUGCACUUGUAUCUCAAGAUACAUUUUAACUUAAGUUUACAUCUUUUAAAAUAUUAUAACUAUUUUUGUAGAACUUUUUAUACAAAUAAAUUAUAAUUUUCAGUUUUGAGUUAGUAUUUGCGUUUGUCAAAUAUAUCCCAAGACCCAAGUUUUUGUGUAUCAUAUGUGUACCAACUCAACAAAAUACCUACUUUAAAAUACUUUUAUUAUAAAAAAGUUCUUUUCACAAAUCUUAUCCGUAGGUUUUAAUAAAAUGAAGACCAUCUAAAUGAAUAGUGUCAUUAAAAUUAUGAAAAAACUUUAUGAUCGUAAAAUGGCAAGUAACUUGAUAAACUUUGAAGUCGAACAACCUAGAUAAACGUUUAUUUAAGUUAAAGAAAUUUAUUUGACCCAAAACAUCGAUUCACUAUUUUUAAUGUUUUCAUGUUUUUUUAUUUUCAGGGAUACUACAUCAGACAUAUCGGAUUGGCUGAAGUAUGUUUGAAUUUGUUCAUUUUGUGAUCUUAACGAGUCGGAGUGGGUUUGGUCUUGUCGGAUUCUUUUAUUUUUUUUAAUAAAUAAAUAUUAUACUAAAUCUAAAUAUAAAAACUAUAUUAUUAUGUCAGUUAUCUAAUUUUUUCUUAAUGAAACAAUUUAACAGG